AAAUAAUGCAUAUAUAACUUUCCAUAACAUAGAACAUUUUAAGUUUUUUUUUUAUAUUAGAGAAAAAAUCGACAUAAUUUGGGUCAAGUUUGUUCAAUUGAUACAUUCAUGUUGGGCACUCUCUUUAAAGCCAUAUGUAAAGAUUAAAAAUCGUAUAUGUAGAACACUUAAUAUUACAUCUCUUAUUUUGGAUGGUGGUUCUUUAGAGAUUUUGGUGCUAUUUCAUAGAUCGGUUUAUUUAUGUGAAAUUCUCAGGAUUUUUAAUUUAUCUCACGAUCUGCCUCAUUGUACGCCUUUGAAUUAUCUUUGAUUUAUAAAAGUCGAGUAUGCAUAAUAAAAUGUAUUGAAAAUCACUGAAGUGAAUACUUUUGUGAUGAAUAAGGACACAAGCAGGAUUCUCCAACUAUUCCAUUCUUUGAAGUUCUUUGUAUAACUAUUAUUAAUCUUUUUUGUCUUAGCGUAAUAUUCAUGACAUGAUUUUGUUGUACAGAUGUUUUAUAUGAUGUGUGCCAUAAAUAGUAUUUGCACUGGGCUACAGUGUAAUUUCUAUCAAAAUUUUAAUCACCCUUGUAUCAUUAUAAUACUGUUAUGUUAUCCAUUUGUACAAUAAACCACAGAAAGUG
rnacentral:sRNA from 1 species